rnacentral:rRNA from 1 species
CCCUUAGAUGUCCUGGGCCGCACGCGCGCUACACUGAGUGUCUGAGAUACGAGUCUGCCUGGUCCGGCAAGGUCUAGGUAAUCGCUAAAAGACACAUCAUGCUUGGGAUAGAUUAUUGCAAAUAUUAAUCUUGAACGAGGAAUUCCUAGUAAGCGCAAGUCAACAGCUUGCGUUGAUUACGUCCCUGCCCUUUGUACACACCGCCCGUCGCUACUACUGAUUGGAUGUUUAAGCGAGGUUCUCGAACUGCUCGCGACUUAGCUUCGGUGAGGUCGCAGUGUGGGAAGUGAACCUAGCUUUGGUGUCUAGAGGAAGUAAAAGUCGUAACA